rnacentral:rRNA from 1 species
UACCAGCACCCCGAGUGGUCGGGACGAUUAUUGGGCCUAAAGCAUCCGUAGCCGGUCCUGCAAGUCUUCCGUUAAAUCCAGCUGCUCAACAGAUGGGCUGCGGAGGAUACUACAGGGCUAGGAGGCGGGAGAGGCAAGCGGUACUUUAUGGGUAGGGGUAAAAUCCGUUGAUCCAUAGAAGACCACCAGUGGCGAAGGCGGCUUGCCAGAACGCGCUCGACGGUGAGGGAUGAAAGCUGGGGGAGCAAACGGG